GAUGAACUCUAGCGGCAGGCCUAAUACAUGCAAGUCGAACGGUGUCUUCGGACAUAGUGGCGCACGGGUGCGUAACACGUAUGCAACCUACCUUACAUUGGGGGAUAGCCUUUCGAAAGGGAGAUUAAUACCGCAUAAGACAGUAGCUGGGCAUCCAGCAGCUGUCAAAGAUUUAUCGAUGUAAGCUGGGCAUGCGUCCAAUUAGCUAGUUGGUGAGGUAACGGCUCACCAAGGCAAUGAUUGGUAGGGGAACUGAGAGGUCAAUCCCCCACACUGGCACUGAGAUACGGGCCAGACUCCUACGGGAGGCAGCAGUAGGGAAUAUUGGGCAAUGGACGCAAGUCUGACCCAGCCAUGCCGCGUGCAGGAUGAAGGCGUUAUGCGUUGUAAACUGCUUUUAUACAGGAAGAAACGACUCUUGCGAGAGGCAUUGACGGUACUGUAUGAAUAAGCACCGGCUAACUCCGUGCCAGCCGCCGCAGUAACAC
rnacentral:rRNA from 1 species